rnacentral:rRNA from 1 species
GACGAACGCUGGCGGCGUGCUUAACACAUGCAAGUCGAACGGAAAGGCCCUGCUUUUGUGGGGUGCUCGAGUGGCGAACGGGUGAGUAACACGUGAGUAACCUGCCCUUGACUUUGGGAUAACUUCAGGAAACUGGGGCUAAUACCGGAUAGGAGCUCCUGCUGCAUGGUGGGGGUUGGAAAGUUUCGGCGGUCGGGGAUGGACUCGCGGCUUAUCAGCUUGUUGGUGGGGUAGUGGCUUACCAAGGCUUUGACGGGUAGCCGGCCUGAGAGGGUGACCGGCCACAUUGGGACUGAGAUACGGCCCAGACUCCUACGGGAGGCAGCAGUGGGGAAUAUUGUACAAUGGGCGGAAGCCUGAUGCAGCAACGCCGCGUGCGGGAUGACGGCCUUCGGGUUGUAAACCGCUUUCGCCUGUGACGAAGCGUGAGUGACGGUAAUGGGUAAAGAAGCACCGGCUAACUACGUG